GACGAACGCUGGUGGCGCGCCUAACACAUGCAAGUCGAACGAGCGAGAGAGAGCUUGCUUUCUCGAGCGAGUGGCGAACGGGUGAGUAACGCGUGAGGAACCUGCCUCAAAGAGGGGGACAACAGUUGGAAACGACUGCUAAUACCGCAUAAGCCCACGGCUCGGCAUCGAGCAGGGGGAAAAGGAGCAAUCCGCUUUGAGAUGGCCUCGCGUCCGAUUAGCUAGUUGGUGAGGUAACGGCCCACCAAGGCGACGAUCGGUAGCCGGACUGAGAGGUUGAACGGCCACAUUGGGACUGAGACACGGCCCAGACUCCUACGGGAGGCAGCAGUGGGGAAUAUUGCACAAUGGGGGAAACCCUGAUGCAGCGACGCCGCGUGGAGGAAGAAGGUCUUCGGAUUGUAAACUCCUGUUGUUGGGGAAGAUAAUGACGGUACCCAACAAGGAAGUGACGGCUAACUACGUG
rnacentral:rRNA from 1 species